GAUGAAGAACGCAGCGAAAUGCGAUACGUAAUGUGAAUUGCAGAAUUCAGUGAAUCAUCGAAUCUUUGAACGCAUAUUGCGCUCUCUGGAAUUCCGGAGAGCAUGCUUGUUUGAGUAUCAGUAAACACCUCAACUUCCAUAUCUUUUUUGAAAUGGGAGUUGGACUUGAGUGAUCCCAACGCUUUUCCUCACCGAAAAGUGGCGGGUUACUUGAAAUGCAGGUGCAGCUGGACUUUUCUCUGAGCUAUAAGCAUAUCUAUUUAGUCUGCCUAAAAAACAGAUUAUUACCUUUGCUGCAGCUAACAUAAAGGAGAUUAGUUCUUGUGCUGACUGAUGCAGGAUUCACAAAGACGGCUUCGGCCGACUUUGUAAACUCGAUCUCAAAUCAAGUAAGACUACCCGCUGAACUUAAGCAUAUCAAUAAGCGGAGGA
rnacentral:misc_RNA from 1 species